UACGUAGGGUGCAAGCGUUGUCCGGAAUUAUUGGGCGUAAAGAGCUCGUAGGCGGUUUGUUGCGUCGGCUGUGAAAUCCCGAGGCUCAACCUCGGGUCUGCAGCCGAUACGGGCAGACUAGAGUUCGGCAGGGGAGACUGGAAUUCCUGGUGUAGCGGUGAAAUGCGCAGAUAUCAGGAGGAACACCGGUGGCGAAGGCGGGUCUCUGGGCCGAUACUGACGCUGAGGAGCGAAAGCGUGGGGAGCAAACAGG
rnacentral:rRNA from 1 species